rnacentral:misc_RNA from 1 species
AAAAAACCCAAAUGAGAAAACAUUUCCUCUCUUUCUCUUUCUCUCACUAAUUUGUUAAAGAACUAUGUCCACAUCAAUCUGUCAAGUUUAAGGAACCUGCCUGGAUCGGUCUUGUCAUUUGUAUAAUCUGAUCAUCAACAACUUGGAAGGACGAUGAUAGAGGCCAUCUUCAUCUUCAUCCUCAUCAAAAACGAAUGAGAGAAGAUCAUGAGCAGAAAAAUUGGGAUAUUUGCGAACAAAUUCUGUCUCAAAAGCAUUGAAAUAGCAAUAGAAACUGAAUCUUGGGGACAAAGGGCAGCAGCUAUACAUGAUGGAAGAAAUAGAAAAGAGCGGUACUGGAAGUGAACAAGAACAAGCUGAAAAUAAUUCUUUACUGUCUUCUUCACAAAAGUGUUCGUCCUUCGAUUUAAAUGAAGAAGCUAGCAGUGAAGAAGAAGAUGGAAGUGCCGAGGAAGAUGAGAAAAGAACAGAAGGGAGUUCAUCAGCUAAUAAUAAUAAUUCUUCCAUUGAAAAAAAUGAACGAAGAACUACUGUUAGACAAUAUGUUCGAUCCAAAAUGCCACGGCUGCGAUGGACUCCUGAUCUCCAUCUCUCUUUUGUGCAUGCUGUUGAAAGGCUUGGUGGACAGGAGAGUAAGAACUUUCUAUAUAUUGAAUUUUCUAUCUUUCUUUUCUUCUUUUCAUGAGCUAAUGAAAAUUAAUGGAAUAUGACAAUUUGUUAAUUAUUAUCCAUUCUAAUUGGUGAAGGAGCAACUCCCAAGUUAGUUCUUCAGCUAAUGAAUGUGAGAGGGCUUAGCAUUGCCCAUGUAAAGAGUCAUCUGCAGAUGUAUCGAAGUAAGAAGCUUGAUGAGGCUGGGCAAGUACUAAGUCAUGCAUACAGAUCCAUGCAAAGAAGAGAUGGCAUUAAUUCAGGCAUGUUACACCAAAUUACAACAGCUCCUCAUCAACAUUUUAGAAUGGAAAAUGGUGGAAUUGUUUUAGCUAGAAAUUCUAUUCAUCAGAAUACUUUUGGUCACAAUCUUUUGCACUCUUCCUUCUCCCAGCCCCAGAGACCACUAAGUUUCAAAGCAAGCUUCUCAAGGCGUCAAUAUUGGAGUUCUUAUCAGCAUGAUGGAAGAAGGCAAAUAAGCACUUUGACAAGCAAUGAUGUUGAACAAGGAUUGGAUACAACGAUGCAAAUUGGGCCCCUGAGACCUAGUAGAUUUCUUGAAGAAAGGCGAUGGCCUCCGUUGGAAAUGAUUAAAAAUCGAUGGAAAGUUACGAAAAAUCCCACUGAUAUUACCUGCCCUAAUACCUGCUCUGAACCUGAACCACAUCAAAUCGGUAACUUAUUACCAAGGUCAUCAGCUGGGGCAACUUGCUAUUGGAAACCAACCGAGCAAUCUUUAUUCAACUCGCACGAUUCUAACAGUGAUUUCAAUCGUCGUAAACUAACGUUUGAACCCCCAUUUCGGCUUGAGUUGAAUCAAGAUAAAGUGUUGAAGGAUAAUAAGGAAUGGUUGCCAGAUUUGCAGCUGAGGCUAAGCCAAAGAGUGGGAAUCGAUGAGAAUAAGAGUAGCCAUUGUAGAAACAAACAGGAUAUAAGCACAAAGCUUUCGCUUUCUUAGUGCCAACAAGAAGAAGAUUUUGAAAGAAAAGCAAUAAAGCGUAGCAUUCCGUACGAAUACAUUUGCAGCAAAGGCCCACACGCAGAGGCUGAGUACUUGGGAAUAUCUGACUGUAUAUGUAGAAAGAAAGACAGAAGAGUGAGAUCUUUUUAAGUACUUGUCUUGGAACCUUUACGCGCUUUUGUUUGUCCCUGUUGGUACUGAAUCAGUUUUGAGUGAAAUUAAGGCAAAUUUCUUGUAUGCACAUAGAGAUAAGAUAUAAGAUGAAUAGUAUGA